AUUCCAUGGUGAGGACAAUCUGAUAUGUAUCCUUGAAAACACUCCCUUGCUUCUGAAAUGGCUUCUGUCUUCUGUUGUUGGAAACUAACAAUAUUUCCUGUUAAGGCA
rfam:Sorghum bicolor cultivar BTx623 chromosome 2, whole genome shotgun sequence.